UCCCUUUAACUUAAAUCCUCCUGGUCUUCCCCUUCUAACCUAAAUCGAUCUACAGAACUCAGAGAAGAAGUCAUUUUAGAGUUAAUGUGUUUUAUUACCGCACGAACUGCAGACAAAUUAACUAGUUAAAUUAUAAAUGUUGUUAAUAGCCAGGCGCUCUGUUUUCUCUCACUCUCGCCUUAUCUAUUAUUUGAAAACUUGAUAUGUCAGAAGGCAGUUGUUAAUUGAAGAGGAACUGUCUUUGUGGAGAAAUUGCUAGCAAUUUUACCUCGCGACUCCUUUAAAUCCUGGGAGGAGAUUCUAUAAUUCCCUAAACCAGAAGUAAGUGAUUAUAUAUUGGUCUUGUUUGAAUUGUCCUUUUGUUUGACUAAUUCGUUUUGCUGAUGUUCAUAAGUAAUUUUUUUCGGAUUGUUUUUUGGGGUAGUUCAUGUGGUUAUAAGAAUGGGCAAAGGAUCCUGUCCCGGACAGAGUGCUCGUUGUAAUCAACUUGAUGUGUGAGUUGGAUGUAGCUAAUCUCUAAAUGAAUAAGUUAUAUAUAAGAUGAUGUAUCUUACUAUUUAAAUCUAUUUGUUCCUACUUUUUUUAUUAUGGCUGGUUAUAAAUAUAUUUGCAAUGUUAUAAAUUUUGGUUCUUUGGACGCUUAAAAAAUGAUGCCUUAGGGAUGAGUGUAGCAGCCUAUAUCAAUCACUAAAUAAAGGCUAAAUUUACUGCUGAACAUAUGCUGAAGACAACCAUAUGUUUAUAUUCUGAAGACAACUUAAUAUUCAAUGUGUUCAAUAACUGAACAUAUAUCUCCCUAUAUCAUAAAU
rnacentral:lncRNA from 1 species